CGUCAUCAAAAUCUGACGAAUCAGAAGCUGUGAUUCCUCCUCCAGCAGCCCUCGGGUUACGCUGCGCAUCUCAGAGAGAGACUGGUUGCAGCGUAGUUUCUCUCCGUUACCAAGCAGCGAAGAGAAAUGAUGGCGCACAUCUGAACCAGAAAGCAUGGACCGCUCUGACAUUUAAGCUUCUCCUGAAUUAUACCACUGUCUAAGACACAAAGGUCUUCCUUCAUUAUGUCUACUUCCAGUGAUAUCCGGGAGAAGCUGCGCAAGAAACGUCGAGCGCUUCAGGAGACUUUGGUGAAAGUGAGGGAUGACACACAGGCUCUGGUUCCCCCCGACUCUGGCACCACUCAGGAGAGCGAUCACACCAUGGUGGAGGAACUGACCGGCAGAGAGGAGGACCCCGGUGAAACCUUGCGGCACUCGCUGAAAGCCCAAAGAAUGAAAAAGAAGAAGAAGCUGUUGAAAGAAAUGGCGGUGGAGGUUCCUCCAGAGGACGAGGAGGUGGAGGAAGUGGUCACUGUUGUGCAGCAGCUGCAGGAGGAGCUUGUGGAUGACACGUGGGCAGGGGGAGAUCGCUUGGCUCGAGUACACAGAGACCUUCCUCCUCUUCCUGUGCCGAGGGCCGACUCCAGUCUCUCCGAGAGCUCUGUGAGGCAGCGUAUGAGGGAGAAGCUGAGAGAGGCCAGGUCCAAAGCGGCGAGUCUGUUGGAGCAGGAGGCUUCGCUGGAGCCGGCCAGUCGUCUGAAGAGCCUCAGAGAUAGAGUGACACUGACCAGAUUCGACCAGGAAUCAGACGAAAUUCCCGCCCAGGGAGCUGCUUCCAUCAGCGGCAGGGUGAAAUUCCGGGAUGCAGCCAGAUGUGUCACCAGAGACAAAAGGCCUGAAAGCAGUUUGCCCAGCGCUGUGGAAGCGUACAACUUUUUCACCCUUAACUUUGACCCUGAACCUGAAUCUGAAGAACAUCAACUCAAGGAGGAAAGAAAGAAAGGAGCAAGAGAAUGGAAAGGCAGAAGAGGAGAGGAAGAGCAGGAGGAGGAAGAGGAGGAAGAAGAGGAGGCUGAGAUGGAAGGAGAGCAUGAAGGAGAGGAGGAGCCUACAGAGAGGGAUGAAGAUGCUCCGCUGGUCAGAGAUGGGGAAGAGGAUCUGUUUGUUAUUCAGUCAGCGCAGGACUUCCUGGAACUGAAGAAGGCUGAGUAUAUCGAGGACAGCAGCCGUGUACAAAGAGAGAACGAGGUUCUCUUCAUCCCCAGUAUGAGACCCGUGCCUGCUUCUCGUAAGCUUCCAGAGAACUUGCGUCCCCGUUACCUGGAAGAGGAGGGUCUUUACGUAGGAGAGAGGCCGUACGUCUCCCUGACCAAUCAGAACAUUCUGGAAAACCGCAUUGUGAAGCAAAAUCAGGGUAUGAAGUGGUUUGGAGAUGAUGGGCGAAUCAUGGCUCUGCCUGAUCCAAUCAAAGAGUCCUCUUCAAGACCACCCCUUUUUCAUUUGGAGGAGGAGCUAGACCUGGCGCUACAGACCGUCUACAGAAAGGCGCUGAAAUCCAAGCAUGUCAACCGCUACAUGGUAGGAGUCGGUUUUGCCGGAGAUUAUCAGCUGGAUGUCGAUGUAUCCGGGCUAAUAUUUUCCCAUCAUCCCCUGUUCAGCAGGGAGCACGUGCUGGGUGCUCGGCUAGCCCAGCUGUACGACCAGUACCUCAGCAGACGGCACAAAAACUUCACCUGUCUCCUGACGGAUAAGCUGAAUGGGCUGAGAAAUGCGAUUCACAACAUGCUGGAGCGCCAUAACAGAGAGGGCCUUAGUCUGGUGAGUCAGCAAAGAAUCAUGGAGUACAGACAGGAAAUAAGACACACCCGUCAGCUCCGUGACUUAGAACAAGAGAGGGACCGAACUCUGCUGAAGAGCAUCGUCAAAGUCUGGAAAGAGCUCAAAGCACUGCGGGAAUUCCAGGGCUUCAUCAACACACCCUACAAACUCUACAUCAGGAAAGAGGAGGUGGAGCGAGAACAGGACCAACGAGAGCACGAGGCAGAGAUCUUAGCCGAGGUGGCCGAGCUGCAGACCGAGGUUGCGGAGGAUUACGAGAGGAAGAUGGUUGAGUACCGGAGAAAUCUGGAGGAAUGGAGGUCCUGGAGGAGGAAACAGAAAGCUGUAAAGAAGAAGCAGAAGAAGAAAAGACAGCAGUCUGACGGUGAGGAAGAAAAAGAGGAGGAUGAGCACAGCGAGGAAGAGCUGGGAGAGGAGCGAGUGAAACCUGAACCUCCACAGAAACCUGAUACAGCGAGUUUAGAGCAGCAGGUUCGAGAGAAAGCUGCGAAGAUCCGCAGGAAACCUGGAGAAUCCAUUUUGGUUCCAGAACUCACUGUUUCCUGUCCCGUCACUCCUAAUGAGCAGUGUCCACGAGGAGAAUUUGCACGGAGAGAGGACGUAGCAAAGCGUUCUCUCAUUAUCAAAGUGCUGUACAAUGGCAAAGAAGUUUCCAGAACAGACAGUCGCUCACUCAGCAUGGACUUCCGGGUUCACUUCGGCCAGAUGUUUAACCUGAAGAUCGUGAACUGGCCCGAGAGCAUCAAACUGCAGAUAUAUGAGAGCAUCGGAUCAUCCACCAAUCUGCUAGCGGAAGUGUGUGCGCCGGUUCCAGAAACUUCCAUCUUAACAGGAAGUGCUUCAUCUGAAGAGAUGGAGUUCAGCAGCAACCAAAGGGUCGCGUUUAACCAUGAGGGUGUCGGCAGUGAUGUGCCAUUCUCGUUCAUGGCUGAUGGCAGCAACAGGCAGACGCUGCUGACCUCGGGGAAGCUGUCCUGCUGUGUGUCAUGGGCUGUCGGAGAAGAUGACUUGCCCCUGGCUCCGCCCUCUGGCCAGCCUGGUGCAGGUAUACACAGUGGUCUGAGGCAGAUGGACGCUAUAGCGUGCAUCGGGGCGUCUGGACUAAACGACAUGACGAAGCUGGGGAAAUGGGCAGCCGAAUCUCGCCUUGACCCUAACGACCCCAACAACUCUUCCAUAAUGCAGCUGCUCUCGGUAGCGAGCGGAGGGGAAUUAGCGGUCCCGGAUUAUUUCCGACUGGAGCAGCUGCAGGAGGAGUUUAACUUCCUGUCGGACGAGGAGCUGGAUCGCUCGCGCCGCUUUCGCCUGCUAAGGCUAAGGAGCCAAGAGGUGGCCGAGUUUCGGCAUUUUAAAUCCGUGCCUUCCACCGAGCGGGAGAUCUCUGAGAAAGUGUUCGAGGAUUACGAGCGCAGGCUGAAGGAAGGACAGCUAGUGGACACCAAGGAGCACAUGGACACACACAGAGCUCUGGUGGCCAAGUAUUUAAAGAAAGUGCAAGAAUCCGUCAUUAAUCGCUUCCUCAUAGCGAAGCAUCAUUACGUUCUUUCGGAUGUGAUCAUAGAAGAGGAGGUACCGAGCAUCGGGAUUUUAGGCCUGAACCUGUUCAAGCUAGCCGAGCCCAAGCGUCCUCUGAAGCCUCGGAGAAAAGAAAGGAAAAAGGUCACGGCUCAGAACCUUUCAGACGGUGACAUCAAGCUGCUACUGAACAUCAUCAGAGGCUACGACAUCCCCGUCCGCAAACCUCAUACCAGCAAACCUUCAGCUGCAUCUAAGAGCGCCCGCUCCUACGCCGAGCCAUUUACAUCAGCUCAUUCAUCUCAGACUGCGCUGCAGGGUGGCGAGUGGCCCCUCGGGCAGCCCCAGGUCCGACCCUACGUCGAGGUCUCUUUCCAGCGUACAGUCCUGCAGACCUCCACAGCCGAGGGUCCGAAUCCCUGCUGGAACGAGGAACUGGUGCUGCCUUUCAGCGCUCCAAACGGAGAUUACAGCACGUCCAGCCUGCAGACUGUCCGCGACGAGGUCUUCAUCAGCAUCUUCGACGAGGUCCUCUAUGAGGUGUUCGAGAAUGAGGAAGAAAGAGGAAACAGCAUUCACACUCGUAUUGAGAGGCACUGGCUGGGGUCCAUUAAGAUUCCAUUCAGCACAAUCUACAUGCAGUCACGAAUUGACGGGACAUUUAAGGUGGCCAUGCCCCCAGUGUUGCUAGGCUACAGUAAAGAGCGGAGCCUCGGCGUCGAGGGGGGCUACGACACGGUUCGGAGUCUAAGCGAAGGCACCUUCCUCACCCUCUUUAUCACCAUCGAACCUCAGCUGGUGCCUGGAGACCCCAUCAGAGAAAAGUUUGACACACAGGAAGUGGAGCGGUUGCUUUUGGCGUGUGAGAGCUUCGAGAAGGACGCAGGGAAGAGGUUCCCGGACCGACCCUGCCUCACCACCGUGGUGGACAUGAACGGCAAAACCGUCUUCAUAACACGCUUCAUCCGACCCCUUAGUCCGCCACAGGAGCUGCUGGACGCUUUCCCCAACAACCCCCAGGAGACCACAGAGCUGGUCGCUCGAUACGUUUCUCUCAUUCCCUUUCUUCCGGACAGCGUGUCUUUCUCUGGUGUGUGUGAUUUAUGGAGCACCUGCGAUCAAUUCCUGAUGCUGCUAGCGGGAGACGAAGAAGAGCAUGCCGUCCUGCUCUGCAAUUACUUCCUGUCCAUGGGUAAAAAAGCUUGGCUCAUUAUAGGAACCGCAAUCCCUGAGGGUCCUACAGCUUACGUUCUCACCCAAGAACACAACCGCUACGUGAUCUGGAACCCAAGUAAGGGUCAGUACUAUGGACAAUACGACACCUUUUGCCCGCUACAGACUGUCGGCUGCCUGGUUAAUGCGGACAAUGUGUGGUUUAAUAUUCAGACCUAUGCCACUCCAAUGAGGAUGGUGUUUGAUGUCACCAAACCCAAGUGCUGGAAGCCGUUCUUCUCCAGAGCGUUCCCCGACCCAGGCCUCUCCAGCGUACAGCCUGAGCAGCUGGUGUACAAACGAACAGACAAGGCAGCUGCAGCAGAGUUACAGGACAGGAUAGAAAAGGUGCUGAGGGAGAAAAUCAUGGAAUGGCGUCCACGACACCCGACCCGCUGGAACCGUUAUUGCACAUCCACGUUACGUCAUUUCUUGCCCAAGCUGGAACGGAGCGGAGGCCGCGAGGUCACCGAAGAGCACCGGCUUGAGCUGCAAAGCCUGCUGGGAGAUUACAGGAUCUCCGGCUUCCCCCUGCACCUUCCGUUCUCUGAGAUUCGGCCCAUCGUCGAAGCCGUGCACAGCACAGGUGUCCAUAGCGUGGAGGCUCCUAACGUGGAGUUUGCGCUGGCCGUGAUUGACUGGAAAGGUGCUUGGAGAUGACCGCUUUACUGACACCAAUGGAAGGGUGAUGCUGACCCUGUAGAUCCUGGACAGGGUGACUAGCUUUUCCUGCCUCUUUCUGACUCAUGAUGUGAUUCAGUUCUGACUACAGCUCAAAGAGAAACGUAAAAGACGAAGCAGACGGUUUUGCACGCCACAUCUCCAAGUGUCCAACCCCAGAUGUAGUAACAAGCCCAGAACGGGAGUCCCACAGUGAAGAGCAGGUCCGACACGGCCAAGUUGAGGAUGAAGAUGUUGGUCAAAGAUUUGAGAUUCUUGUAGUACGCAAGAGUCACAAGAACCAAGAUGUUACCAAUUAGACUGAGUAACACCACAAUGCUGAAGAAUAACGGGACAACGAUGGAGCCAACUUUUGCCACGGAGUCCUUGUAACACAACUGAUUCAGAAUCUCAUCAAUAUCAGUAUAGAUAUACGUUAUAUCGAAUAAUUCUGUGUUGUUAUCUGUAAUGGAAAAAAUUUAUUAUUACACAUGCAGCAUAAGUUUCUAUUCAUUCUGGUUUCUGUAUUGUAAUAUCUCAUACAUGAAGAAAGGAAACUUUCUAUUCUACAGAAAUACCCAGAAUUGCACCACUAGUAACCAUGUACAAUGCAGUUCAUAUUUUGUUAAAAUAGCUUUAUAAAUCCAUUUCAGAAAUAAUCGUUUAUACUGAUCUGUGUAAUCCAUUUGUUCCUCUUCAAAUGGAUCACUGAAAAAAUGUAGCUCCUUUGUAAAACUAUGUCAAAGAACUAAAAAUGACUCCAUCUUUUUAUUCAUACAGUCCUGAGCAUUCACUCCCAAAUAGAGAAUAUAACUGAACCAAGUCAUACGAUGGCCGAGAAGUGUGAACACAAUAACAAAACCAAAAACACAAUGACAAUUCAGACAAACCGGAAAAGUUAGGUAUAGUUUGCGAAUGGAAUUCUUACCGCCGAUUGGAAGAGACAUCUAUCAAUCAAAAUAUACAAGAAUUCGGAAAUUGUUUAUCUAACAUUAU